rnacentral:rRNA from 1 species
UACGGAGAGUGCAAACGUUGUUCGGAUUCACUGGGCGUAAAGGGCACGUAGGCGGCUCGGCAAGUCGGUCGUGGAAUCUCGACGCUUACCGUCGAAACGGCGGCCGAAAAUACCGGGCUAGAGGGCGUGAGGGGUCACUGGAACUCCUGGUGAAGCGGUGAAAUGCGUAGAUAUCAGGAGGAACGCCGGAGGCGAAAGCGAGUGACUGGCGCGUUCCUGACGCUGAGGUGCGAAAGCUAGGGGAGCAAACAGG